rnacentral:rRNA from 1 species
UGAGGAAUAUUGGUCAAUGGGCGAGAGCCUGAACCAGCCAAGUAGCGUGCAGGAUGACGGCCCUAUGGGUUGUAAACUGCUUUUAUGUGGGGAUAAAGUGCGUGACGUGUCAUGCAUUGCAGGUACCAUAUGAAUAAGGACCGGCUAAUUCCGUGCCAGCAGCCGCGGUAAUACGGAAGGUCCGGGCGUUAUCCGGAUUUAUUGGGUUUAAAGGGAGCGUAGGCUGUCUAUUAAGCGUGUUGUGAAAUUUACCGGCUCAACCGGUGGCUUGCAGCGCGAACUGGUCGACUUGAGUAUGCAGGAAGUAGGCGGAAUUCAUGGUGUAGCGGUGAAAUGCUUAGAUAUCAUGACGAACUCCGAUUGCGCAGGCAGCUUACUGUAGCAUAACUGACGCUGAUGCUCGAAAGUGCGGGUAUCAAACAGG